GAUGAAGAACGUAGCGAAAUGCGAUAAGUAAUGCGAAUUGCAGAAUUCCAGUGAGUCAUCGAAUCUUUGAACGCACAUUGCGCCCUUUGGUAUUCCGAAGGGCAUGCCUGUUCGAGCGUCAUUAACACCCCUCAAGCCCUCGGCUUGGUGUUGGACGGUUUGGUGGAGGCCCCCUCGGGGGCUCCUGCCCCUCCCAAAGACAAUGACGGCGGCCUCGUUGGACCCCCGGUACACUGAGUUCUUCACGGGACACGUAUCGGACACAUGGGUUUACGGGACACGGUCUGCCUCCCCUCAGGGAGAAUCUUUCUAAGGUUGACCUCGGAUCAGGUAGGGAUACCCGCUGAACUUAAGCAUAUCAAUAAGCGGAGGA
rnacentral:misc_RNA from 1 species